UACGGAGGGUGCAAGCGUUAAUCGGAAUUACUGGGCGUAAAGCGCACGCAGGUGGCUGAGUCAGUCGAUUGUGAAAGCCCUGGGCUUAACCUGGGAAUUGCAGUCGAUACUACUCAGCUAGAGUAUGGGAGAGGGUAGUGGAAUUCCCGGUGUAGCGGUGAAAUGCGUAGAUAUCUGGAGGAACACCGGUGGCGAAGGCGGCAUCCUGGACCGGUAUUGACGCUGAGGCGCGAAAGCCAGGGGAGCAAACGGG
rnacentral:rRNA from 1 species